UUGCUUCUAGCUUUUCCACUCCGUCGUCAUCGUUACUAUUUUCUGAAACUCAGUGUUAUCACCAUUCAAUGCCAUUUUCAAUGGUUUCGUUCUAUCUCCCUUCGUUUCUCCUCCUAUUUAAACCAAUUCAUAAAAUCUUUCAAACAAUUAAAAUCGGCUUCUUCCAGAGAAGAAAAGAAUUUCAUGUCCAUGAAAUCUCUUAGAUCACCGGCACAAUAGCACAAACUGUGUGUGAUCUGGCAUGGAGAGUAGGACUUGAAGUUGUUGACCUUCCACCUGAUAUCCGAGAGAGGCCACACUCGAGAAGGAGUGCUUUUUUUUUUUAACAAACGAGGAGUGCUUAAAGAACCAUUCAAUGGCUCUAAAUUCGUACAUGUCAAUAGUUUCCGAGCAUAAAUUUGGGUCAUAUAACUGGUACACUGAUGCGUACUCCUCCAGGAUAUGCAGAUUCUUAGUGUUCCUUUUCUUCCUCUUAUUUUGAUUUAAGGGAACUGCAGUAAUCAUGAUGAAGAUGAUAGAGACAGCUUUUCCUUUAUUAGAGCUGGUGGCCGAAAAGCCUUCUAGAUAAAGCUGUGACAGGUGCUCACAUGGGAGUUAUUGGUCUCAUAAUGGGAGGUGAGCAUAUCUUUCCCAUGAUUGGAAUCGCACACCUUCCUGCAUGGUCCUGUGAGGGAAAAUAGAUAUGGGCCCAGUUGGCUUCUCAGUAACUUCCUGCAGUCAUUUCUGAAAAUCUCAUGGGUCUCUGAAGCUAUCUGCAAUAGGGAAUCGGUGUUCUUUACAUUAAAAUAAGAAGGUUUUCCGGGGAGAUCGAGUUGAGAUACCUCAUCGGCGAAACCUUGAUGGAACCAUUGUCAAAUUAAUUGUCUGAGAAAUCUCUGGCUACAAGGUUCUGAAAUCCUAACUCAAAGCUCCAUUGUAUAGACCCAAAAUGAUGUGUACAUCAAAAGCUAAUGUGCUACAUAAUUUUUUUAAUUAUGUUUUCUGU